CAAGGCUGAGGCGUGAUGACGAGGCACUACGGUGCUGAAGCAACAAAUGCCCUGCUUCCAGGAAAAGCCUCUAAGCAUCAGGUAACAUCAAAUCGUACCCCAAACCGACACAGGUGGUCAGGUAGAGAAUACCAAGGCGCUUGAGAGAACUCGGGUGAAGGAACUAGGCAAAAUGGUGCCGUAACUUCGGGAGAAGGCACGCUGAUAUGUAGGUGAAGCGACUUGCUCGUGGAGCUGAAAUCAGUCGAAGAUACCAGCUGGCUGCAACUGUUUAUUAAAAACACAGCACUGUGCAAACACGAAAGUGGACGUAUACGGUGUGACGCCUGCCCGGUGCCGGAAGGUUAAUUGAUGGGGUCAGCGCAAGCGAAGCUCUUGAUCGAAGCCCCGGUAAACGGCGGCCGUAACUAUAACGGUCCUAAGGUAGCGAAAUUCCUUGUCGGGUAAGUUCCGACCUGCACGAAUGGCGUAAUGAUGGCCAGGCUGUCUCCACCCGAGACUCAGUGAAAUUGAACUCGCUGUGAAGAUGCAGUGUACCCGCGGCAAGACGGAAAGACCCCGUGAACCUUUACUAUAGCUUGACACUGAACAUUGAGCCUUGAUGUGUAGGAUAGGUGGGAGGCUUUGAAGUGUGGACGCCAGUCUGCAUGGAGCCGACCUUGAAAUACCACCCUUUAAUGUUUGAUGUUCUAACGUUGACCCGUGAUCCGGGUUGCGGACAGUGUCUGGUGGGUAGUUUGACUGGGGCGGUCUCCUCCUAAAGAGUAACGGAGGAGCACGAAGGUUGGCUAAUCCUGGUCGGACAUCAGGAGGUUAGUGCAAUGGCAUAAGCCAGCUUGACUGCGAGCGUGACGGCGCGAGCAGGUGCGAAAGCAGGUCAUAGUGAUCCGGUGGUUCUGAAUGGAAGGGCCAUCGCUCAACGGAUAAAAGGUACUCCGGGGAUAACAGGCUGAUACCGCCCAAGAGUUCAUAUCGACGGCGGUGUUUGGCACCUCGAUGUCGGCUCAUCACAUCCUGGGGCUGAAGUAGGUCCCAAGGGUAUGGCUGUUCGCCAUUUAAAGUGGUACGCGAGCUGGGUUUAGAACGUCGUGAGACAGUUCGGUCCCUAUCUGCCGUGGGCGCUGGAGAACUGAGGGGGGCUGCUCCUAGUACGAGAGGACCGGAGUGGACGCAUCACUGGUGUUCGGGUUGUCAUGCCAAUGGCACUGCCCGGUAGCUAAAUGCGGAAGAGAUAAGUGCUGAAAGCAUCUAAGCACGAAACUUGCCCCGAGAUGAGUUCUCCCUGACUCCUUGAGAGUCCUGAAGGAACGUUGAAGACGACGACGUUGAUAGGCCGGGUGUGUAAGCGCAGCGAUGCGUUGAGCUAACCGGUACUAAUGAACCGUGAGG
rnacentral:rRNA from 1 species